GAUGAACGCUGGCGGCGUGCCUAAUACAUGCAAGUCGAGCGAACAGACGAGGAGCUUGCUCCUCUGACGUUAGCGGCGGACGGGUGAGUAACACGUGGAUAACCUACCUAUAAGACUGGGAUAACUUCGGGAAACCGGAGCUAAUACCGGAUAAUAUAUUGAACCGCAUGGUUCAAUAGUGAAAGACGGUUUUGCUGUCACUUAUAGAUGGAUCCGCGCCGCAUUAGCUAGUUGGUAAGGUAACGGCUUACCAAGGCAACGAUGCGUAGCCGACCUGAGCGGGUGAUCGGCCACACUGGAACUGAGACACGGUCCAGACUCCGACGGGAGGCAGCAGGAGGGAAUCUUCCGCAAUGGGCGAAAGCCUGACGGAGCAACGCCGCGUGAGUGAUGAAGGUCUUCGGAUCGUAAAACUCUGUUAUUAGGGAAGAACAAAUGUGUAAGUAACUAUGCACGUCUUGACGGUACCUAAUCAGAAAGCCACGGCUAACUACGUGCCAGCCGCCGCCGUAA
rnacentral:rRNA from 1 species